AUGUGUGGCUCCAGUCAUUCUUUCAAUGUAAAUGUAUGGGAUUUUUCACCUAUUUUACCAUUUUAUCAUCUGCUUUGUCUUUGCCUACACAAGCACUACAGAUUAAUCAAAGUAAAUGGUUUGAAUGAAAGGCUCCUGCAGUUUGGGAAUCCGUCUCAUUGUCUCAAUGUCUGUCAUCAGGACUCCAGUGUGAAGUGUGUCCAGUGCGGUAAGAACAGACCCAUGAUCACCAGAUACUCAGAGGGUUACGGCACAGAGGAGGAGUGUGUCCAGCCUCAGCUUCAGGGAGACAGUGACGCAGACGCAGACAUCGAGGACACGGACAGCAGGCUCCAGAUUGUGGGUUCCCUCCAGCGAAUCAGCUCCCGGAAGAGAAAGCGUCAGCGAAUCACACGGCAGGACACAACCGAGAGCGAAGACGAUGGUGGGCAGAGCCACAGGACACACCGCUGGAGUCUACGGCUCAGUCCUCAUCGCGCACAUAACAGGACCAUACUGGAGGAGAGCAUUUCUCAGGUGCGGCCGCUGGUAAUCUGCCGCUGUGCAGCGCGAGAGACUCAAACUGUCACGGAUGACAAACCCGACAGUGGAAAAUGGACCCUGACAGUGUUUCCCGUCCCUCUUUCUCUCCCUGUGUCCUGUUAUCUGCUCAUCAUCCCUCUCUCUGUAUCCAUCAUCAUCGUUCUCAUGUCAUUCCUCCUACCGCUUACAGAUACUUGACAUUGCCUUAAAAUAUCACUGUAUAACCCUCUUCACCAUAUGAAUCAAUUCAUUUCUUUUUAGUUGUGUCUACAUGUACAGUAUAUUAGACCCUUUUAUACAUUGUGAUCUAUAGAAGCUUGAAAAAUGCUUUGGUAAAUAAUUAUGAGAUAAAAAGUCAUAAUUGUGACACACCAAGUCAUAAUUAUGAUAUAAGAAGUCAAAAUAAUUAUAUACUAAAUCACAUUUAUGAGAUAAAUGUGGGAAAUUAUGACACUAUGUCAUAAUUAUGAGAUAAAAAACGUGACACUCUAAUUAAUAAUUAUGAGACAAUUGAAAUUUUGACAGUAAGUCGUAAUUGAGAUAAAAAUGUCAAAUUAUGACAAAAAAUCGCUGUCAAAAAGUCAAAAUUAUGAUAUAGUAAAUCACAUUUAUGAGAAAAAAAGUUUAGACAUAAUAAGUCAUAAUUAGGACAUAAAAUGUCAAAAUAUGACAAAAAUCAUAACGAGAUAAAAGUAAAAAUUAUUUUAUGCUAAAUCACAUUUAUGAGAUAAAAAUGAAAAAUUAUGACACACUUAAGUCAUAAUUAGGACAUAAAAAUGUCAAAAUAUGACAAAAAAUCAUUAUGAGAUAAAAGUAAAAAUUAUGAGACAAAUAGUCAUAAUUUUGACUUUUUAUGUCAUGAUUAUGACAUCUUGUGGUGGAAAUGUGCUCAUGUAUUAUUUGGACACCAAAGACAUCAAGUUUAUUGACAUAAAGCACAUUUGGAUGCACAACGUGAUCAGGGGUGUAAAAUUACAGUGAUUUUGUACUUAAGUGAGGGAAUACUGUGCCAAAAAGUUCUUUCCACAUUUAAAAGUGUUGAAUCAUAAAGUUAUACUUUUUUAACUAAGGCGUCUCUUCACAAGAACAAAUGACUGCAAUUGUCACCAAAUUACAUUUCACAUUGAAAUGGAUUUCAUUGGCUGUAAAAAAAAAAAAAAAAGCACCAGAGCUCAGUUUGAUUGGCUUAGCAGCUUAG
ensembl:lncRNA